rnacentral:misc_RNA from 1 species
UUUCCGUAGGUGAACCUGCGGAAGGAUCAUUCAUAAUAAAGUGUUUUAUGGCACUUUUUAAAAAUCCAUAUCCACCUUGUGUGCAAUGUUAGAUCUCGUCAAUCUUGGCGAGAUUUUUAUACAUCAACUCAUUCUUUAACUAAUUUGUCUGAAAAAUAUUAUGAAUACUUAAUUCAAAAUACAACUUUCAACAACGGAUCUCUUGGCUCUCGCAUCGUGAAGUACGCAGC